rnacentral:scRNA from 1 species
AGGUCAUUGGACCGGGCGAAGAUGCGGCCCUGA